AAAGCACUUCACGCCCGUGAAGUGUGGCAGGUGAUGUGGGGGACACCUGCUACGAAAGGCGGUU
rnacentral:sRNA from 1 species